rnacentral:rRNA from 1 species
GACGAACGCUGGCGGCGUGCUUAACACAUGCAAGUCGAACGGAGAAUUUAUUUCGGUAAAUUCUUAGUGGCGAACGGGUGAGUAACGCGUGGGCAACCUGCCCUUCAGAUGGGGACAACAUCCCGAAAGGCGUGCUAAUACCGAAUACGAUCACGCUGCCGCAUGGCGGUGUGAUGAAAGAUGGCCUCUAUUUAUAAGCUAUCGCUGACGGAUGGGCCUGCGUCUGAUUAGCUAGUUGGUGGGGUAACGGCCUACCAAGGCGAUGAUCAGUAGCCGGUCUGGGAGGAUAAACGGCCACAUUGGGACUGAGACACGGCCCAAACUCCUACGGGAGGCAGCAGUGGGGAAUAUUCCGCAAUGGACGAAAGUCUGACGGAGCAACGCCGCGUGAGUGAUGAAGGUUUUCGGACUGUAAAACUCUGUUGUUUAGGACGAAAGUGCCUGUUGCAAAUAGUUGCAGGUAUUGACGGUACUGAACGAGGAAGCCACGGCUAACUACGUGCCAGCAGCCGCCGUAA